rnacentral:misc_RNA from 1 species
GAUCCCACCGUGAUUGGUUCCUACUUGUAAUCAAGUAUAUGAAAAAUUUAAGUUCUACUAAACCUGAUCCUACAAAUUAUUGGUUAAUUGAACAUGAUUUUGGAUUUUGGGACAAUUGAGAAGCAGAAUAACAAAUUCUUCCCAUUCACUUUUUAUUUUUCACAUUCAACUUCAUUUCAAACAGAGCAAAUAGGAAAAUUUCUGCUUUCGGCUCAAAUAUUUAACAAAAUUCAAGCAGUGACUAAGUCUGGCAAGUUUUUGGUCUUAUUCUAUGUGUCUUUUUACACGAAAUCUUCCCAAUGUGUAACAAAAAUUCUUCUCAUAAAAAUUCCUGUUGGAAUGAAAUGGAGGAACUCAAGUACUUGAUUUGCGCCAUUGAUUGCUGUAAAUGUGAGCAUGUGCCACCACCACCGUCCUGUUCAAUCAUGUUACCUCCUCGCAUAAAAGAAGUGCCCUGUAUUCUACCACCUCAAAGACCAGUUUGCCGACCACCAAAGCCAUGCUGCCCACCUAUUUAUCCAGGUCCUUGUUGUCCUUGUCCUUUGCCUCGACCACAGCCACCAAAGUGCCCCCCUCCGCCUCCAAGUCCACCUCCAUGUUGCCCACCUUGUUCUCCUCUUCCAUGCUAUCCAAAACCAUACUGCUGAUGCCUUGAAGUACUUUCAACUAAAUGCUGAAAUGGUGCAAAAAAUAUAGUCUAGAAUCAGGUAUAACAGUUUCUAAAUGUUCUUGGUCUAAUCGUAAUACAUGAUUUAUCGCAUCACCUGGGCUUGUGAUUUUAACUUUUGCGAUACAGGACGGAGUCUUUUCGCUGUCUGCUUGAACGACACCUUUGGCUCGGUAAUAUUUUUCUCCCAGUGACCGAGUCACUACUUUUACUACCAAACCAUCUCGAAGCCACCCCUUUUCUUUGUCAACUUCAUUAAAGCUCUUCUUUGUCUCUAUUUUUUGGUUACUGUGAUGUUUGUGUUUAAUUUUUUUCUCCGAUGUAUCUUGAAAUUCUGAAAUCUCUUCGUCUGUUUCAGAGGUUUUUCUCUUUUUUUUAGGCUUAUCUAUAGAAAAGCUGGUACUAGGACCAACUAUUGGCACAGGUUUUGGUUUCAACUUCAGCUCAAGCACGAGAGGCUUGUCUUCGACUGGUCUUUCAAGUGGCUUCUUAAAUUCACCUGAAUCUUCAUCUAUCUCUGUACGGCCACGUACCACUUGUUUUUGAAUAAAAUCCAUCAUACGUUCUUGAUCAUCUUUGUCCAUUUUUUCUUUUUUAGCUUUUUUUUCCUGUGCUGCCAGUGUCUCAGGAUCUCUAUCAAUAUAUGUUACAAACCACCCCUUUUCUGUUUCAUCUACAACACACUGGCCAGAUCUUCCGAGAUAUUUGACAAAACCUGUCAGACUCAACCACUUUGUUGCAUUCAUAUGUAUGUGGUCUCUGUCUGCUAUAUAAUCUUGGUAAACUCUGUUAGCUGGAACCCUUUUAGUACCAAAUUGACGUUUCAAAAGGUGUAAAUAUCCUUGGCAAAAUUCUCUGGAAAACUCAUCCAUAUAGCGUCCAGCAUUGUCUGCAAACAGCAAGAGUUGUCGCUGAUGGGACUCUGACAUGGUGUGACACUUGAAACCGUUCUCGUCUCGGCAUUGUUUCUGACACAUUUGACAGUACCAUCGUAACUUCUGCAAACCUUUUGCUUUGAUCUUAUUUGCUAUGUACUUAGG